rnacentral:rRNA from 1 species
GACGAACGCUGGCGGCGUGCUUAACACAUGCAAGUCGAACGGUAAGGCCCUUCGGGGUACACGAGUGGCGAACGGGUGAGUAACACGCGGGUGAUCUGCCCUGCACUUCGGGAUAAGCCUGGGAAACUGGGUCUAAUACCGGAUAGGACCACUGCCUGCAUGGGUGGUGGUGGAAAGCUUUUGCGGUGUGGGAUGGGCCCGCGGCCUAUCAGCUUGUCGGUGGGGUGAUGGCCUACCAAGGCGACGACGGGUAGCCGGCCUGGGAGGGUGACCGGCCACACUGGGACUGAGAUACGGCCCAGACUCCUGCGGGAGGCAGCAGUGGGGAAUAUUGCACAAUGGGCGCAAGCCUGAUGCAGCGACGCCGCGUGAGGGAUGACGGCCUUCGGGUUGUAAACCUCUUUCAGCACCGACGAAGCGCAAGUGACGGUAGGUGCAGAAGAAGGACCGGCCAACUACGUGCCAGCAGCCGCCGUAA